GGCGCACGGGUGCGUAACACGUGGAUAAUCUGCCCUUGAAUUCGGGAUAACCUUCCGAAAGGUUGGCUAAUACCGGGUAAGCUCACGGUGACUUCGGUCGCUGUGGGAAAAGUAGACCUCUGUUUACAAGUUUACGUUUGAGGAUGAGUCCGCGGCCCAUCAGCUAGUUGGCGGGGUAAUGGCCCACCAAGGCUACGACGGGUAGCUGGUCUGAGAGGACGAUCAGCCACACUGGAACUGAGACACGGUCCAGACUCCUACGGGAGGCAGCAGUGGGGAAUUUUCCACAAUGGGCGAAAGCCUGAUGGAGCAACGCCGCGUGUGUGAUGAAGGUCUUCGGAUCGUAAAGCACUUUCGACCGGGACGAAAAACCUCUGGCUAACAUCCAGGGGCCUGACGGUACCGGGAGAAGAAGCACCGGCUAACUCUGUGCCAGCAGCCGCGGUAAUACAGAGGGUGCAAGCGUUGUUCGGAAUUAUUGGGCGUAAAGCGCGUGUAGGCGGCUUGGCAAGUCAGAUGUGAAAGCCCAUGGCUUAACCAUGGAAGUGCGUCUGAAACUGCUGAGCUUGAGUGCCGGAGAGGAUGGCGGAAUUCCGCAAGUAGAGGUGAAAUUCGUAGAUAUGCGGAGGAACACCGGUGGCGAAGGCGGCCAUCUGGACGGCAACUGACGCUGAGACGCGAAAGCGUGGGGAGCAAACAGGAUUAGAUACCCUGGUAGUCCACGCUGUAAACGAUGAGAACUAGGUGUCGUGGGUGUUGACCCCCGCGGUGCCGUAGCUAACGCAUUAAGUUCUC
rnacentral:rRNA from 1 species